GAUGAACGCUGGCGGUAUGCCUAAUACAUGCAAGUCGAACGGACACACGAGGAGCUUUCUCCGCUGACGUUAGCAGCGGACAGGAGAGUGCCACGUGGACGACCUACCUAUAGGAAUGGGAUAACUACGGGAGACCGGAGCUAAUACAAGAUAAUAUAUGCAAGCACAUGAUUCAGUAUUGAAAGACGGUUUUGGUGUCACAAAGAGAUAGAUCCGCGCCGCUUUGGCUAGUUGGUAAGGUAACGGCUAACCAAGGCAACGAUGAGUAGCCGACCUGAGAGGGUGAUGGGCCACACUGGAACUGAGACACGGUCCAGACGCCUACGGGAGGCAGCAGUAGGGAAUCUUCCGCAAUGGGCGAAAGCCUGACGGAGCAACGCCGCGUGAGUGACGAAGCUCUUCGGAUCGUAAAACUCUGUUAUUAGGGAAGAAAAAAUGUGUAAGUAACGAUGCACGUCUUGACGGUACCUAAUCAGACAGCCACGGCUAACUACGUG
rnacentral:rRNA from 1 species